rnacentral:misc_RNA from 1 species
GCGAAGCAAACGCCCUCUUGGGGUUGUGCUGGCGCCCCUGGCGCAUGUGCACGUCUCGGAGGGUUGUCCAUCUUCUCACACCUGUGCACACGUCCGGUCGGACCCGGCGCCUCGCGCGUCGACCGGCCGCCUUUCACAACAGCCAUGUCAGAGUGUCGAAAGCUUUAUGCGCUUGCGCAACCGAAAAA